rnacentral:misc_RNA from 1 species
UCCUGCUAUCAAAGGCGUC